rnacentral:lncRNA from 1 species
CAUAAGUUCGUAUCAUUACAUGAAUUUAACUUAACAUUCCAAAAUCCUAAACAUGAGGGAUCCUUUAACUUACACAAAAUCCACAGGUUUAGAUUCAUCGUCAACAUUUCAUUAGAUGCAGAGUGGCUUAUACAACAAAUACAUAUAUGCUAACACAGAUCUGCCCAAAAUCUUCUAACUUUCCACUGCCUCAGCCCAAUCUUAACAUUUAAGCAAGCGAUACACUAUCCUGAAAAAUUUAUCAACAAACGGGGUGAGCAUAUAGAGCUCAGCAAGUGACUAACAUAUCCAUAUCAAAAUAAAAUAAUUUCCAAAGAGAUAAAGUUUCACAAUACGAGGCAGAAAAUAUGAAUUCGUAGACAUAAUAUCAUUAGGUGCAGAAUCACAAUUGUCCUUUCAAUCAUACAUAUUUGGUUCAUAACAUACGGGGCAUAGAGUAAUUGGAGCAUAUCAGAAACGAAUGAAACGUUUUGGAGCAUAACAAUAACAAAUGAAACAUAUCGGAGCUUAUCAAUGGCAUAUGAAAUGUUCCGGAGCAUAUCAACAGCGUAUGGAACAUUUCGAAGCAUAUCAACAAUGAAUGAAAUUUUUCGGAGCUUAUCAAUAUCACAUACCAAACAGAAGCUCAAACGUCGUCUUUGACGUUGCAUUCAUAUCAUUCUUAUCCAAAGCAUGUACAAAAACACAUAACCAAAGCUCUGGAUAUCA